rnacentral:piRNA from 1 species
CCAGAGAGAAAGGCCAGGUCACCUACAAA